rfam:Sinomicrobium oceani strain CGMCC 1.12145 genome assembly, contig: IQ32DRAFT_scaffold00005.5
GGGCUCUUAGCUCAGCUGGUUCAGAGCACCUGCCUUACAAGCAGGGGGUCACUGGUUCGAAUCCAGUAGGGCCCA